rnacentral:rRNA from 1 species
GAUGAACGCUGGCGGCGUGCCUAAUACAUGCAAGUCGAGCGAAUGGAUUAAGAGCUUGCUCUUAUGAAGUUAGCGGCGGACGGGUGAGUAACACGUGGGUAACCUGCCGAUAAGACUGGGAUAACUCCGGGAAACCGGGGCUAAUACCGGAUAACAUUUUGAACCGCAUGGUUCGAAAUUGAAAGGCGGCUUCGGCUGUCACUUAUGGAUGGACCCGCGUCGCAUUAGCUAGUUGGUGAGGUAACGGCUCACCAAGGCAACGAUGCGUAGCCGACCUGAGAGGGUGAUCGGCACACUGGGACUGAGACACGGCCCAGACUCCUACGGGAGGCAGCAGUAGGGAAUCUUCCGCAAUGGACGAAAGUCUGACGGAGCAACGCCGCGUGAGUGAUGAAGGCUUUCGGGUCGUAAAACUCUGUUGUUAGGGAAGAACAAGUGCUAGUUGAAUAAGCUGGCACCUUGACGGUACCUAACCAGAAAGCCACGGCUAACUACGUGCCAGCAGCCGCGGUAA